rnacentral:tmRNA from 1 species
GGGAAUGUAGUGGCCCCGGGCGGUGUUGAUCCCGUACGAUGGCAGUGCACCCGAUGGGUGCGCACCUUGAAAAAAACACAUGGGGAUGAUCGGUUUCGACAGCGGCUGUCGAAGCAGGGGAAGCGUGUCGAGGAAGCGGCCAUGAUCUCGUAAACCACAGGCCGAAACCAAUAAUCGCCAAUUCCAAGCGCGAUUCCUUCGCCCUCGCUGCCUAAGUAGCGACUUGCGAAGUGUCAGCCCGGGGGUGUUCCCGACCCGGAUCCUGGCAUCAUCAAGGGAACUAAACCGUUAGGCCCGGUCACGGGGUGUAGCGGGAAACCAAACAGUGGCUGAGCCCGUCGGAGACUUGUCCGCGUGAUCUCCGGGGCCGAGAAACUCACAGCGGACUGCACACGGAGAAGCCCUGAUUCCGCACCGUUGGACGCGGGUUCGAUUCCCGCCAUCUCCAC